UACGAAGGGGGCUAGCGUUGUUCGGAUUUACUGGGCGUAAAGCGCACGUAGGCGGAUCGUUAAGUCGGGGGUGAAAUCCUGGAGCUCAACUCCAGAACUGCCUUCGAUACUGGCGAUCUUGAGUCCGGAAGAGGUGAGUGGAACUCCUAGUGUAGAGGUGGAAUUCGUAGAUAUUAGGAAGAACACCAGUGGCGAAGGCGGCUCACUGGUCCGGUACUGACGCUGAGGUGCGAAAGCGUGGGGAUCAAACAGG
rnacentral:rRNA from 1 species